ACGAACGCUGGCGGCGUGCUUAACACAUGCAAGUCGAACGGAAAGGCCCUGCUUUUGUGGGGUGCUCGAGUGGCGAACGGGUGAGUAACACGUGAGUAACCUGCCCUUGACUUUGGGAUAACUUCAGGAAACUGGGGCUAAUACCGGAUAGGAGCUCCUGCUGCAUGGUGGGGGUUGGAAAGUUUCGGCGGUUGAGGAUGGACUCGCGGCUUAUCAGCUUGUUGGUGGGGUAGUGGCUUACCAAGGCUUUGACGGGUAGCCGGCCUGAGAGGGUGACCGGCCACAUUGGGACUGAGAUACGGCCCAGACUCCUACGGGAGGCAGCAGUGGGGAAUAUUGUACAAUGGGCGGAAGCCUGAUGCAGCAACGCCGCGUGCGGGAUGACGGCCUUCGGGUUGUAAACCGCUUUCGCCUGUGACGAAGCGUGAGUGACGGUAAUGGGUAAAGAAGCACCGGCUAACUACGUG
rnacentral:rRNA from 1 species